rnacentral:rRNA from 1 species
AUUGAACGCUGGCGGCAGGCUUAACACACGCAAGUCGAGCGGGGGAAGGUAGCUUGCUACCGGACCUAGCGGCGGACGGGUGAGUAAUGCUUAGGAAUCUGCCUAUUAGUGGGGGACAACAUCUCGAAAGGGAUGCUAAUACCGCAUACGUCCUACGGGAGAAAGCAGGGGAUCUUCGGACCUUGCGCUAAUAGAUGAGCCUAAGUCGGAUUAGCUAGUUGGUGGGGUAAAGGCCUACCAAGGCGACGAUCUGUAGCGGGUCUGAGAGGAUGAUCCGCCACACUGGGACUGAGACACGGCCCAGACUCCUACGGGAGGCAGCAGUGGGGAAUAUUGGACAAUGGGCGGAAGCCUGAUCCAGCCAUGCCGCGUGUGUGAAGAAGGCCUUUUGGUUGUAAAGCACUUUAAGCGAGGAGGAGGCUACUAGUAUUAAUACUACUGGAUAGUGGACGUUACUCGCAGAAUAAGCACCGGCUAACUCUGUGCCAGCCGCCGCCGUAACAC